GAAUUGACGGGACCGCACAAGCGGUGGAUGAUGUGGUUUAAUUCGAUGCAACGCGAAAACCUUACCACCUUUGACAUGUACGGAAUCCUUUAGAGAUAGAGGAGUGCUCGAAAGAGAGCCGUAACACAGGUGCUGCAUGGCUGUCGUCAGCUCGUGUCGUGAGAUGUUGGGUUAAGUCCCGCAACGAGCGCAACCCUUGUCAUUAGUUGCUACAUUCAGUUGGGCACUCUAAUGAGACUGCCGGUGACAAACCGGAGGAAGGUGGGGAUGACGUCAAGUCCUCAUGGCCCUUAUAGGUGGGGCUACACACGUCAUACAAUGGAUGGUACAAAGGGUCGCCAACCCGCGAGGGGGAGCCAAUCCCAUAAAGCCAUUCGUAGUCCGGAUCGCAGUCUGCAACUCGACUGCGUGAAGUCGGAAUCGCUAGUAAUCGUGGAUCAGAAUGUCACGGUGAAUACGUUCCCGGGUCUU
rnacentral:rRNA from 1 species